rnacentral:rRNA from 1 species
CAGCAGCCGCGGUAAUACCGGCGGCCCGAGUGGCGGUCACUAUUAUUGGGCUUAAAGCGUCCGUAGCCGGGUUGGGAAGUCCUCCGGGAAAUCUGGCCGCUUAACGGUCAGAAUGCCGGAGGAUACUCCCAGCCUAGGGAGCGGGAGAGGCCGAGGGGAUUCCCGGAGUAGGGGGGAAAUCCUAUAAUCCCGGGAGGACCACCUGUGGCGAAGGCGCUCGGCUGGAACGCGUCCGACGGUGAGGGACGAAGGCCAGGGGAGCAAACCGGAUUAGAUACCCGGGUAGUCCUGGCGGUAAACGAUGCGAACUUUGUGUCGGACAAGCUAUGAGCUUGUCCGGUGCCGGAGGGAAACCGUUAAGUCCGCCGCCUGGGGAGUACGGCCGCAAGGCUGAAACUUAAAGGAAUUGGCGGG